rnacentral:rRNA from 1 species
UACGUAGGGUGCGAGCGUUAAUCGGAAUUACUGGGCGUAAAGCGUGCGCAGGCGGUUUGGCAAGUCAGAUGUGAAAUCCCCGAGCUCAACUUGGGAACUGCGUUUGAAACUGCCAGACUAGAAUAUGUCAGAGGGGGGGUAGAAUUCCACGUGUAGCAGUGAAAUGCGUAGAGAUGUGGAGGAAUACCAAUGGCGAAGGCAGCCCCCUGGGAUAAUAUUGACGCUCAUGCACGAAAGCGUGGGGAGCAAACAGGAUUAGAGUACCCUGGAUA